CCCUUAGAUGUUCUGGGCCGCACGCGCGCUACACUGAUCGGCUCAACGAGUUUUGUCGUUAGACAUGUCCUUCACCGGAAGGUGUGGGUAAUCUUUUCAAUACCGAUCGUGAUGGGGCUAGAGCCUUGUAAUUAUUGCUCUCCAACGAGGAAUUCCUAGUAAACGCAAGUCAUCAGCUUGCAUUGAUUACGUCCCUGCCCUUUGUACACACCGCCCGUCGCACCUACCGAUUGAAUGGUUCGAUGAAAUCGUUGGACUGUCGAAGUUUUCUUUAUUGAACGUUUCGACGGGAAAACGAGUAAAUCUCAUCAUUUAGAGGAAGGUGAAGUCGUAACA
rnacentral:rRNA from 1 species